rnacentral:tRNA from 2 species
UGGGGUCCUGGGACCCGGGCCCUGGGGUCCUGGGUUCCGGGCCCUGGGGUCCUGGGUUCCGGGCCCUGGGGUCCUGA